rnacentral:rRNA from 1 species
GUUAAACGCUGGCGGCAUGCCUUACACAUGCAAGUCGAACGGUAGCGCGGGGCAACCUGGCGACGAGUGGCGAACGGGUGAGUAAAGCAUCGGAACGUGCCCUGGAAUGGGGGAUAACGUAGCGAAAGUUACGCUAAUACCGCAUAUUCUGUGAGCAGGAAAGCAGGGGAUCGCAAGACCUUGCGUUCUGGGAGCGGCCGAUGUCGGAUUAGCUAGUUGGUGGGGUAAAAGCCUACCAAGGCGACGAUCCGUAGCGGGUCUGAGAGGAUGAUCCGCCACACUGGGACUGAGACACGGCCCAGACUCCUACGGGAGGCAGCAGUGGGGAAUUUUGGACAAUGGGCGGAAGCCUGAUCCAGCCAUGCCGCGUGAGUGAAGAAGGCCUUCGG